UACGUAGGGGGCAAGCGUUGUCCGGAAUUAUUGGGCGUAAAGAGCGUGUAGGCGGUCCGGUAAGUCAGCUGUGAAAGUCAAGGGCUCAACCCUUGAAAGCCGGUUGAUACUGUCGGGCUAGAGUCCGGAAGAGGCGAGUGGAAUUCCCGGUGUAGCGGUGAAAUGCGCAGAUAUCGGGAGGAACACCAAUGGCGAAGGCAGCUCGCUGGGACGGUACUGACGCUGAGACGCAAAAGCGUGGGGAGCAAACAGG
rnacentral:rRNA from 1 species